rnacentral:rRNA from 1 species
AGCGAACGUUUGCGGCGGGCCUAACACAUGCAAGUCGGAACGCACUAGCAAUAGUGAGUGGCGCACGGGUGCGUAACACGUGGGUAAUCAACCCUUCAGCUUGGGAUAACGACUUGAAAGGGUCGCUAAUACCGGAUACGGCGAGAGAGGCUUCGGCAUUUCUCGAGAAAGCCUCGCAAGGGGCACUGAAGGACGAGCCUGCGGCCCAUCAGCUAGUUGGUGAGGUAAGAGCUCACCAAGGCGAAGACGGGUAGCUGGUCUGAGAGGAUGAUCAGCCACACUGGAACUGAGACACGGUCCAGACUCCUACGGGAGGCAGCAGUGGGGAAUAUUGCGCAAUGGGCGAAAGCCUGACGCAGCCACGCCGCGUGAGCGAUGAAGGCCUUGGUCGUAAAGCUCUGUGGGGAGGGACGGAAGAAAGCCCGUGAAGAGCGGGCCUUGACGGUAUCGUCCUUAGCAAGCACCGGCUAACUCCGUGCCAGCAGCCGCGGUAA